GUUGUUCCAACAAGUCCGAUGCAGUCAUGAUAUAACAAUAUUGUCACAAACCUUGUAACAAUAUUGUUAUAUCAUGACUGUAUCAUACUUGUUAGAACAAC